CGGUAAAGGAGCGGUUUAUGUGCUUGAGUGUUUCUGUGUGUGUGAUUUGAUUUAUUAUAAGCCGGCAUUUAUUUUAAGGACUUUGUGAUUUAAUUACAUCUGUAUUUUGUGCUUUUGUCUGUGUAUGUCUUGUUGGGUACCAUAUAUGUUAAUUGUAAUCUAUACAAUCUGUAUCGUUACUCUCCUAUUCUAUCUUUUGUCCUAAGGAGAGCUGUGCUUAGGCAAUCACAUGGUUAAAAAACUUUGUGCUUGCAAGUCUUCCUCCCUCCUCCCCCCUCCUUCUUUGUUGCUUUCUCUUGCUCUGACUGCUAUGAGUAUUGGCUACAGGGGGGGUGAAUGGGUGAAAUGCUUGUAAACUCAGUGAGGAAUGUGAGGGAAACAAGGUAUAUUUGCUGGACGAAUAACCUAGUUAGGAACUUUGUGUAAUCUUGUAUAUGUUGUUAAGUAAGAGGUUAUUGGCAUGUUGGAAUAAGGAAAGUUAGAUUUUGUUGGAACAAAUGAAUUGUGGAAUUCAUAAAUGAUAAUGCAGAGAAAAGUAAAUUGCAGUUUGCAUGUAAUAGCAGCUAUUCAGAUGCUGUAUUGUGGCAAUCUUUAUACACACAAUGUGAAAUUGCCAAUAGUGAAAUUGACAAGAAAUUGUUUGUUAAUAAGAAAAAAAACAAAAGAUCAGAAAUGUUAUGAAACUAGUCUGUACUUACAAUGCAUUGAUUUGUAAACGAGAUGCAGGUCAAGAAAAUUUAGAAUCAGCAGAUAAAGAAAUAGAUUUGAAUGGGUUAACAGAAGACAAAUCAGAUUUAAAUGAACAGUGUAACAAUGUAACAGAGAGAACAUUGUCAGAAAAAGUCUGUGAAUUAG